GUUGAGGCUACCCGUACUACAAUGGCCGGAACAACGGGAAGCGAAGCCGCGAGGUGGAGCCAAUCCUAGAAAAGCCGGUCUCAGUUCGGAUUGUAGGCUGCAACUCGCCUACAUGAAGUCGGAAUUGCUAGUAAUCGCGGAUCAGCAUGCCGCGGUGAAUACGUUCCCGGGUCUUGUACACACCGCCCGUCACACCACGAGAGUUUACAACACCCGAAGUCGGUGAGGUAACCGUAAGGAGCCAGCCGCCGAAGGUGGGGUAGAUGAUUGGGGUGAAGUCGUAACAAGGUAGCCGUAUCGGAAGGUGCGGUUGGAUCACCUCCUAACUGGAGGAAGGGG
rnacentral:rRNA from 1 species